rnacentral:rRNA from 1 species
AGGACGAACGCUGGCGGCGUGCUUAACACAUGCAAGUCGAACGGUGAACCAGGGCUUGCCCUGGGAAUCAGUGGCGAACGGGUGAGUAACACGUGACCAACCUGCCCCUAACUCUGGGAUAACCCCGGGAAACCGGAGCUAAUACCGGAUACGAGACCGAGUGGCAUCACACGGUCUGGAAAGUUUUUCGGUUAGGGAUGGGGUCGCGGCCUAUCAGCUUGUUGGUGGGGUAAUGGCCUACCAAGGCGACGACGGGUA